GACGUAGGGCGCGAGCGUUGUCCGGAUUUAUUGGGCGUAAAGAGCUCGUAGGCGGCUCGUUGCGUCGGCUGUGAAAACCCGCAGCUCAACUGUGGGCUUGCAGCUGAUACGGGCGGGCUGGGAUUCGGUAGGGGAGACUGGAAUUCCUGGUGUAGCGGUGAAAUGCGCAGAUAUCAGGAGGAACACCGGUGGCGAAGGCGGGUCUCUGGGCCGAUAUCGACGCUGAGGAGCGAAAGCGUGGGGAGCGAAUGGG
rnacentral:rRNA from 1 species